CGAAAAUCCCUAAAAGCAAUCGUGUAAGUCAGACGGAAUAUUGCAUGUCUCGGAAAUAGCUGUUGCAUCACUGCACUGGACGCGAAGGUGCGUCGUAGCAGCUUGCUUUAGUCGCGAGGAAGGACUGAACCGGUGAAGUACAAGACAAAACACGUUUGCGCAACAUGACGUAAUCAAAAGGUCACUGUGUCGCAAAUUUCAGAUCUAUUGGAACGGGGUUCAUGUUCUACUUCGCGAGGUUUCCCUAUGCAUGACUCUUACGCCAGGCGAUUUCUCUCGUCGGAGAAAUUGCCUUCGAGUUGGAAACCAAUCUAACAGCAUGGGUGAUGAGAGGUAGCGAGAGCCGUUCAUUGAUAAAACGUUAAGGAUUCGCUGCAUCGUCAGAAGAUAAAAGCCCGGGUAUGAGGCCCAGUCCAAACCCGCAAAGCCCUUCCUUCCUCCUUCACUCAGGUAAUCUCAGGCUGGGGGAAGGAGGUUGGAAAUAACCGGCUUUGAGCUCCGGCUGUACGAGUAUUUCUGGCCGAGAGCACGUGAGCUGUGACGUCACGCUGUCUGGCCACGCCCUUUUCUACUCUAACUCGGCAACCAUUUUUUUGUGUUGAGGCUUCUACUAUCUCGUGUUUUCCGUACACGUAUAUAACUUCGAUUUCUCAGGAUAGGGCGAACAGGGUGUUGGUGAACCAGAAGUCAACACUUCACUCGGUUUUCCCGCGUGUCCUAACGACCAAAUUUCUGAAGGAUGCAAACGUUUCCUCUUCCUCUGCUUUCCUGUGUAAUCCCCCCUUUUCGCCUCUUGUAGCAGAAUGUUGACUCUCAUAAAACAACACUUUUUUGACAUUUAUUAUCUUCAUAUAUAUCACCGUUUGCCAUUUGCUAAAACUCUUGUUCAGCGGUUUCUACACCCACUCUAAGGAAGUUAUAGUUUGCUCUCGUACCACACAAAGGAGGAAUUUUUUUUUUCUCUAUAUUCUAUUCUUUUUUAAAAUUCACUUUCUAAUAGAAAUCGUAGGCGAAAAUCUUUGCAAUUUUUGUUUUAUAGAUUCACAGCAAUGGCGAAGCGAGAUCAGGAUCGGUCCGAAUCUGUACUCGCGAAGAUCUAUAAGAAAUUAAAGCAAAAGAAAAUACCCCAAAGAAGGGCACAUAAACUCACAAACACACAAACAAACACCACCAACCAACCAACCAGCGAUGAAACACACACAAACACAAACAAAGAAACAAACACACAAACACACAUAGGCCUACAUAUUACAUCCAUAGGUUGCGGAUGCAUCACAGCAGCGUCGAGAGCUGGCGUGACCAAAGGGAGGGUCUGGGAUGUGAGAAGCAUGAUCUUUUGGUCUAUAAAUACCUGAAGCGGGAGACACGGGGGGCUAGGGUAAAAAAGGGGAGUAUUUCCGGAGGAAGUCCGCGGCUUGAAGGAGGCGCUUGAGUUCCUCCGAGCGAAGGUCUUCGGGGAAGUCCUGGUUCCUCUGACUAUCCUUCCCCACGGCUAACCUCUAGGACUCUCAGCCUCGGCAGAGCGUGCGAUCUUCACUCGGCUCUGAAAUGUGAAGAAAUUGUACAAGUCAUUUGGUCUACUUGAGGGUUCUAUGUCAUGCUUACUCGAACUGUAAUGCUCAAUACAUAUAAGGCGUUAUUUGCAGGGUCUGUAGUGCAGUGAGGAAGAAAACACGUGGGGGGUAACAGACAGGAAAUAGUAGAAGGGUGAACAAAGGUACAAACGAAGAACGAAAGAGGGACAAAAAAGCGCGUCACAAAUAGAGAUGAUCUUGAGGCCACGAGCGAGUGACGCACGCGAUGGGUACUUGCAAAAAACAUCACGUUUCUCUACUGAUUUACAUAAAUGGAUGGAGGAAUAUAUAUCUAUACAAAAACUGUCACACACGCACACACACACACACAAACAUUAUCAUAGUAAGCCAUAUAAAAAGCAUCAUUGAAAAAAUUAUGCCAACAAAACAAUCAUGUCAAAACAAAGACAAGAGAGAAAGAGAGGAGAGAAAAGGAAGUUUUUCACUUAAUAAAAACACAUUAGCUUUACUCUUAACUUAUCAAGAAUCGGAGAAGAUAUAAUGUCUUUAAGCAAUCUAUUCCAAAGCUUACAGAAAGCAAUUAAAAGAAAAAAGAAAAGAAAACUGAGU